GGAGGCAGCACGGCACGAGCGAGCGGCUGCACAGCCGAACAGUUGGCGGUGCCGACAGCUGCUCAGUGUAGCUCGACGGACAGGGAGCGAGAUGGAGAGGGAGGACUGGUGCUGUUGUGAAGCAAGGGAGAGGAGGAGGAGAAUUCGGUUUUGGGCUCCCGGUGGAAAGAUCAGAGGCUGGCAUGAGGAGGAGGUGGCCGGUGUUGCUGCACAGAGAAAAGAUCAGAGAGGGAAGUGAAGGCUGGUGUGAACAUGGGAGAGAAAUUGGUGGCAGGGAGUUAAUCUUUUGCUACCUGUGUGAGAGGGAGCAGAGGGAGAUCAGAGAGAUGAGAGUGAGAGAGAGGGGAAGGCACAUCAGCACGUGGGGUGGUGGUGGUAUGGGCUUCUGCUUGUGAGGGAGAGAGAACUGUGAGGAGGAGAGAGAGUGAAAGAGAUGAAAGAUCUCAAGAGAGAGAGAGAGAGAGCGCAUUUGAAUGUGACCGAAUUUAUAAAGUAGAUUUGUAAAUUGGAUUUGUAAUUAUUCAAAUGAAUGUAUUUGAAAUGAAAUGAGAUGUGUGAUGAUUCAAUUAAA